AGUCAAUAGAUACCCGGGUAGUCCACGCCGUAAACGAUGAGUACUAGGUGUAGGAGGUAUCGACUCCUUCUGUGCCGCAGUUAAACACAAUAAGUACUCCGCCUGGGAAGUACGGUCGCAAGAUUAAAAACUCAAAGGAAUUGACGGGGGCCCGCACAAGCAGCGGAGCAUGUGGUUUAAUUCGAAGCAACGCGAAGAACCUUACCUAGACUUGACAUCUCCUGAAUAGCGUAGAGAUACGUGAAGCCCUUCGGGGCAGGAAGACAGGUGGUGCAUGGUUGUCGUCAGCUCGUGUCGUGAGAUGUUGGGUUAAGUCCCGCAACGAGCGCAACCCUUAUCAUUAGUUGCUACCAUUAAGUUGAGCACUCUAGUGAGACUGCCCGGGUUAACCGGGAGGAAGGCGGGGAUGACGUCAAAUCAUCAUGCCCCUUAUGUCUA
rnacentral:rRNA from 1 species